GAGUGAACGCUGGCGGUAGGCCUAACACAUGCAAGUCGAACGGCAGCACAGUAGGAGCUUGCUCUUACGGGUGGCGAGUGGCGGACGGGUGAGGAAUACAUCGGAAUCUACCUUUUGGUGGGGAUAACGUAGGGAAACUUACGCUAAUACCGCAUACGCCCUUCGGGGGAAAGCCGGGACCAGCAAUGGCCUGGCGCUGAUAGAUGAGCCGAUGUCGGAUUAGCUAGUUGGUGAGGUAAUGGCUCACCAAGGCGACGAUCCGUAGCUGGUCUGAGAGGAUGAUCAGCCACACUGGAACUGAGACACGGUCCAGACUCCGUACGGGAGCAGCAGGUGGGGAAUAGUUAGGGACAAAGU
rnacentral:rRNA from 1 species